UUUUGUUUUUUUAUCCUUGUUUCGGUCUUGAUUGUUUCUAUAGUGAUUGUGACAAUCCAUGAUAUCUUCUUUCCCCUACAUGGUUAGAUUUUAGGUUAAACUGCUAUGUACAAUAAAAUAGUGAUUCGCUGUGGGAAAGGCUUAUGUUGCAUUCCCCGAUUUAUCUCCAGCAGCAAAUACAUCGAUAAAUGUUUCAAAGUUAUGAACUCUAAGCGGCAAACAUUGGAAAACAAAUCGGUGGCUUUAUAUUUUGAAAGUUGGACGCAAAUCUAAUUUAUUGAUGUACACUAGGCCGUAUUUAAGAAUUUGAUUACCCAUUCAUGCAUUAAUACUUUGAGAAGUGUACCAAUGUGUCCUUCUAAUUCGUAUAUGAUGCAUGAACAUGGUGGUUAGCGUAUGAAUCAUCCAUUUGCCUCACGUUUUUCUUUUGGAAAGUAGACCACUGGAUAUUUCACCCGUCUUGACAUGUAGAGUAUUUUGGAGCAGUACUGUACUUGACAUGCAUAAUUAUAUUUACUUCAUUUGAUGUAGAUUCCAACUCAAUCCAUAUUACUAGAGAUGACCUUCUACAUGCGUUAUGAAUAUAUGACCUAUAAUUCUUUUACCGAUUUUAUUUGCUCUUUAUAAUUCAUUGAUACUAUUACAUUAGUAUACUGAAAUAAAAGUAGUGCAUGUAGAUUAAGAAAAUCUUCAUUUCAACAUAAUGCAAGCCUUUGCCAUGAUUGUCCUUCUUCUUGGUACUUAUUUAUUUAGCAUCUGAAUUAAGUGUUAUGUCCCUAUUAUUGUUGUCCCUGUGCAUCUUAAUUAAGUGUUAUGGCUCUACUAGAAAACGCAUCAUGUCCCUUCUUUUCUAUUUUUUAAGAAAAUGGUUCUCACAAUCUGAUUUAAGGGAGCAAGACAUCAUCAGGUUUACUUACUGAUGUGGCCUCUGCGUCCCGUGCGCUGGUGGUGCAGUCCGCUCAGAUCAGACACAAGCAGGUAGUUGUAGAUACCGUAUCUUCAAACGAGGUACUCAUAGCAUCUAUAGAGUGGGCCAAUAUUCGAAAAGAGCACAAGACUUGAGGAUUUGAGCAUGCUUGUAGGCUAGAAGCAUCACCUUCAGACUUCGUCACUUGUUGACAGUCUAAAAUUGACCCUGAACUGAUAUGGGCACUUGCUAAGCAAGAUGUCAAAGACAAGCACCAGCUGAAGAUGAAAUAGAAAAUACAGCCGGUAAAGGCACCAACGAAGGAAAACCUUCAGGCGUCAAACAUGAUGGAAGGAUGUUGGAUGGUCAGUGACGACUUGGUUGGAGGGGAUGCGGUAGGAGGAGGGCGCAAAGGGGCGGGAGGGGUGGCCGCCGGGGAGGCGGAGCUGUGCCGGCCACCGCAAGUGAGGAAGAGGAUGGAGCUUGGUGCAGCAGAAGGGGAGAGCCUCAAGGGGUUGGAGCGAUGACUACUCUGCCCUCGCCAGCUUCCGCCGCCGCUCCUCCCUUGCGCAGCCGCCACCGUCCACGGGUUCGGGCGUCGUCUCGGAAAUUGAGGAGCCGUUCGGCCCGCUCAGGGGCGUGGCCAUCGGUGUCCAGCGUGCUGCUCGACGGCCGUUUCUGCAACGUCUGAGGAAGAAGAGAAGGAGGAUAUCAAGCAGGGGAUGUUGGGCUCUAAUGGUUGGAGGUAGCCAUGACUGCCAGUGGUAGCCAGAGAGGUCGUUUGGCUGCUUUGUAUAUGGCACAAGGAGGAAGGGAGCUGGAGACGACGAUGGAACCAAACAAUCCUACAUCAACAACAGAACCAAACAAUCCUACAUCAACAACAGGUGCUCCCGAGCGAUGGCGGCGGCGGCAGGGAGCGCGCGCCUGAGCGAGGAGGGGGUUUGAAGUGUCCGUGCCAGCAACCUCACCGUCUCCAACCUAUCUGCAGGUGAGCAACGAAUUUGAGACUUGUUCUUGGUUUUUCUGCAGUUCGUGGAGCGGGUCCGAAGCAGUUGGGUAGCAGCCCUCAAAUUAGGUGGGAGUUGCUUACUGUACAGCCAAAAGAGUGUGGAUUUUGUACACCCACGCAUGGGUGGUCUGGACCGGGAGGCCUGAGAGCUCCACUUCACCAGGCGUGGCCUAGCGCCAUCUGCCCCGAAAUUACUCCGACAUUUGACGCCGGGAAGAGAUCCCGCGACAUUUGACGCCGGGAAGCAGCUUCUCGCGCGCAAAGGGAGGCGGCUCGCCGGCUCGGGCGAGAAGGUACUGGGGAGGUGGCUCGCGCGAGAAGGGACUAGGGACGUUGUCUGCAUCCGGAAGAGAAGCAGGGGGCGGAGGUUACGUGAAACCCAGCGUUGGAUACGAUGGCCAUGGCGAUGCUGAAGAAGCAUACCCUGCCGAUGGGGAGGAGAACGAAGGGAUCGUGAUCUUUGUACAUGACGAGGUUGUUGCCGGCCAUGUCGUCGAGGAGGAGCAUGUGGCGGAGAACAUGGGCGCCGGUGGCGUCGAGCUUGCAGCUGUGAUUGUACAGCUUGAGGACGGCAACUCUUCUUCAUAUGCUGGGUACCAAGCGUCGACGAGGUGCUUAGCCACCGUCAACGUUUUGGCGACGAAGGCGUUUGGAGCAUCAUGCUGCGACGCGUCUGGGCUCGGCUCCUUUGAUUCUUAUUUGGUCGUCACGCAGGAGUUUAUCGUCAGUUAGUGUUUUGAUUGCCAGUUAGCAAUGCCUUCCUCUCGUUCAGUACCAAGUUAUCAAAGUAGUUCAAGUGUUUAUUUUGGGAUCCUUGUUAGCCGAUGACAUUUAAGGAAGGAAAUCAUUCUUGUACUGGAUACUUGUGAUGUGUAAUAUCAUCCAUGUCUUAGAUGUGUUUAUCAAUGA